UGGGAAUGAUUUCUUACUAAUAAAGAAACUGCCUUGGCCCAUUUUAUUGGAUAGAAAAUUAGGUAGGCGGAGUAUACAGAAGAGAAUUCUGGGAGAAAGAAGGUUAGAGGAAGAGUCGCCAUGAUGCUCCCACUCCAGACAGACGCAGGUUAAGAUCCUCUCUGGUAAAGAAGCUUUUUGGAGACUACAAUGCUUGGACUGAAGCAAAUGUUACUACCCUAAUGACACCCUGGGUACAUCUCCAGAAGAAAGUCUCUUGACAAAAGAGAAAAGAGGAAAAAAAAAAAACUAUCCUAUGAAGGCAACAGAGGCAAAUGAUCAACCACACACACUGCAAUAAGAAUGAAGAAACAACUAACAUAAUAAAGAAUAUCUUUCCAGUAAGUGCUACAAAAGAAA